rnacentral:lncRNA from 1 species
CCUGGGAGGUAUCAGAAAUUCAAAUAUGCGAAUUUGUCACCAAUAAAGUGAAUAAUGUGGGGAGAGUGGAGCUAUAUGAUCAACGAGAUUCACUUGGGUUGGAUAUGAUCCGAAUUAUAACGUAUGUCUUGUGGGACGCCUAGAGGGCACACGAUUCAGGUCAUGUGAUUAGCGGAUUUGUUUCCGUAUUUGAUUGCAGUCAGUUUAGUCCACCCUAUAUAUACAUCUUGUAAGCCGCACGGGGAAAAGCAAGACGGCUCAUUGUAUUCCCUGUGUUGUAACUUUCUCAUUAUAGUGAAGAUCGUCGAUUGGCGCCCGUAAUUUUUUCCCGUAAAUGUUUUCGUGUCUCGUGUUCGAUCUUGUUUUCGCAUUAUUUGCUAACAACUUGUGUGGCCGAUGGAUCUUCCAUGGAUGGGACUGCUGCAAGGCGGCAAUACCACCACAGAUCGCAAGUUUGGUGUGGAUAUGGAACUUGGUUGGAGGGAUGCUCUCAAGAAACAAAUCAGAGCAUGCUCCGUAGAAAAGCCAAGCUCCAUUCAUUAAUGCUACUGGAAACUCAAACACGACACCUGAAAAGGCAGAAGGGAAAGCAUUGGCUAAUUAAGCGACAAUGACUCUCGUUCAACAGCUGAAAUUUUACUUGCAUGGAUGACCUUCUGGUCGGUUUGAGCCUUUUGGGUCACUGGCCGUAUAACAUUGUAUGUAUAUAUAAUCCAUGCCCAUGGUAAACUUAAAUUGAGUUGAACUUAUUAACUGUGUGGUAUGUUUUGUUUUCUCUAAGUACUCAAACUGUGCCUUAUCC